rnacentral:tRNA from 1 species
UUCUUAGAAGCUUGCAAUAGCAGUGAAUUUUUACUUCAUUAACAGGGGCCCCCCCCUAAGGAA